rnacentral:pre_miRNA from 1 species
UUAGUACUCCCUCCGUCCGGAAAUACUCGUCGGAGAAAUGGAUGUAUCUAGACAUAUUUUAGUUCUAGAUACAUCUAUUUUUAUCAAUUUCUUUGACAAGUAUUUUGGGACGGAGGGAGUACUUC